AGUGAACGCUGGCGGUAGGCCUAACACAUGCAAGUCGAACGGCAGCACAGUAAGAGCUUGCUCUUACUGGUGGCGAGUGGCGGACGGGUGAGGAAUACAUCGGAAUCUACUUUUUCGUGGGGGAUAACGUAGGGAAACUUACGCUAAUACCUCAUACGACCUACGGGUGAAAGCAGGGGAUCUUCGGACCUUGCGCGAUUGAAUGAGCCGAUGUCGGAUUAGCUAGUUGGCUGGGUAAAGGCCCACCAAGGCGACGAUCCGUAGCUGGUCUGAGAGGAUGAUCAGCCACACUGGAACUGAGACACGGUCCAGACUCCUACGGGAGGCAGCAGUGGGGAAUAUUGGACAAUGGGCGAAAGCCUGAUCCAGCCAUACCGCGUGGGUGAAGAAGGCCUUCGGGUUGUAAAGCCCUUUUGUUGGGAAAGAAAAGCAGCAGGUUAAUACCCCGCUGUUCUGACGGUACCCAAAGAAUAAGCACCGGCUAACUUCGUG
rnacentral:rRNA from 1 species